rnacentral:tRNA from 1 species
GCAACAGUGGUUAAAUGGUAGAAUUCUCGUCUUUCAUGUGGGAGACCUGGGUUCAAUUCCCAGCCAUGCA